ensembl:misc_RNA Metazoa_SRP Metazoan signal recognition particle RNA
GCCGGGUGUGGUGGCUCAUGCCUGUAAUCCAAGCUCUUUGGAGGCCAAGGCAGGCGGAUUACCUGAGGUCAGGAGUUCAAGACCAGCUUGACCAACAUGGUGAAACCCCGUCUUUU